GGUGUUUUUCAAUCCCAAAAUCACGAUUUUACAUGUGUGUUUCUCAAGCUGACUGGAUUGUUUACGAUCUAAGAAGCUCCUCUAUUUGCAUACAUGAAGCGUUCAAAUCUAAAAUAUCAUCGGUUAAAGAUCGUAGCUACUCAAAAACCGCUUAAAAUGGACGGAAAAUGUGGAUUAUUUUGGUUCAGAUCCAAAUCAGUCCUAUAGGAGUUGAGGCAUUUUGAGCAAUUCGAUUUUUUUAGAAAAUUGUUGUUCAUUUACGAGCCAGAGGAAGAAAAUGUACCCUGACACAAAAGUGUAAAAGUUUUACCGUGAGUAUCGGCAGUAGGAAGAAUCAAUCCAAAAAACCUGCAUUUUUUUUUUCGAUUGGUUAUAGGCAGAUUUUUAAAUUUUAAGAACGAUAUUUUCCUACAUUGAUUUCUCUUCGCAGACAACAUUUAACUGCUCAAAAACUUAGUUAGUUACUAUAAAAAGGGGGCAGUAGUGCAAUGAUGAUUGUUUUUAAAUUUUCACUUUCCAAGUUCAAUAGCUGGAAAACUAUGAAAAAUUGACGAUUUCCUCAAGGCGACUUUUCUUAAGAAAAAUACCAGUUGAGGGUCUCUGCCGCUGUAGAUCAGGAUGUCAAAAAGACCGAGUGGAAGAAAAUGUGCGAUUACAAAAGAGUUUGAAGUUUUUCACUGUGAUAAUGAGCAUCGGGAAGAAUUUAAAACCAAAACAAGGAGCCGAAUGCGAAACAUCUAGAAUAAAAAUAGGGAAAAAGUAAAAGAAAGGAUGAUACCUGGGAAUAAAAAUGACGAAAACAGGACGCUACAAAGGGCAGAAUAACCAAAGGCAAACAACUGACCUCAAUAUUAUGGCAGAAAAACAUAAGACCAGAGACAAUCUUUAAAGAUGAUCCCAUAUUGAAACCCGUUAUGUGCCAAUUAAGACAAAAACUUUAGGACAAAUUACUAGCAGUUGAAAUGAAUUUUACCUUAAUGGCCAAGUAGUCAUCAUGGGUAAAGCUAAUUCUCUGGUGCGAGCUAGUAGUACUGCAACUUUUUCCAUUGCUGUUGUUGUAAACAGCCACGGUGUGCAGAUACAAAUUGAAAAUGGA